rnacentral:misc_RNA from 1 species
AAGGCCUCUAGGUUGCAGAGAUCUGGCAGCAAAGUAUGAUAUUCAAAAGUUAAAACACAAGUUAAAAAAAGAAAGUUUCAGACAACCAUCAUUGUAUAGGAAAGGGUAAAUAAUUAAAUAAUGCCUGAGAUAUGGUCUACACACUUCUGUCCUUGCUAUUUCAAAUAUUAUUUUGGCCCCCAAAGUUUGUUAAUGGCUCUACACUUUAGUCUUGAUGUAUAAGACUGAGAAAUUUUUAUGUAAAUCUAGUUUCUCACAUUUUAAAUUAUAUCACAUUUUAGUCAUUAAAAUUUUAAAUUUUAGAUGCAUUUUAAUCUUUGAAUUUUUAUUUUAUAGACACUUCAGUCCCUCACUUUCGCUGGCAAUAGUAGUAGAAG